UACGUAGGUGGCGAGCGUUGUCCGGAAUUACUGGGCGUAAAGGGCGUGUAGGCGGGGGCUCAAGUCGGAUGUGAAAUACCGUGGCUCAACCACGGGGCUGCGUCCGAAACUGUGCCUCUUGAGUACCGGAGAGGAAAGUGGAAUUCCCAGUGUAGCGGUGAAAUGCGUAGAUAUUGGGAGGAACACCAGUGGCGAAGGUGACUUUCGGGACGGUAACUGACGCUGAGGCGCGAAAGCGUGGGGAGCAAACAGG
rnacentral:rRNA from 1 species